rnacentral:rRNA from 1 species
UACGAAGGGUGCAAACGUUGCUCGGAAUUAUUGGGCGUAAAGCGCACGUAGGCGGCUUAGCAAGUCCCAUGUGAAAGCCCACGGCUUAACCGUGGAAGUGCAUGGGAAACUGCUGAGCUUGAGUGUCGGAGAGGAUGGCGGAAUACCCCAAGUAGAGGUGAAAUUCGUAGAUAUGGGGUGGAACACCGGUGGCGAAGGCGGCCAUCUGGACGACAACUGACGCUGAGACGCGAAAGCGUGGGGAGCAAACAGG